UACGAAGGGGGCAAGCGUUAAUCGGAAUUACUGGGCGUAAAGCGCACGCAGGCGGUUGGAUAAGUUAGAUGUGAAAGCCCCGGGCUCAACCUGGGAAUUGCAUUUAAAACUGUCCGGCUAGAGUCUUGUAGAGGGGGGUAGAAUUCCAGGUGUAGCGGUGAAAUGCGUAGAGAUCUGGAGGAAUCCCGGUGGCGAAGGCGGCCCCCUGGACAAAUACUGACGCUCAGGUGCGAAAGCGUGGGGAGCAAACAGG
rnacentral:rRNA from 1 species